rnacentral:lncRNA from 1 species
AAUACCCUUUAUUUAAAAUAAAAAUAAAAGAAAAAGUACUUAGGCAAGAGGAAACAUGUAAGCCAGAGUCUUGCCAUACCCGAUCUGAGAACCCAAGACCACACUUUUCCCUUCCAUCACUGCUUGGAUUCCAAUACACUGAAUUUCAGUGGGAAUCUCAAUACUCAUCUCUCUCACAGCCGCCAAGACCUCUUCAGUCAGACCCAAUCCCCCAAAAUUCUCAACCUCCCUCUUCUUAUUAUCUGGCUUACCCUACCCAAUCCCCAAAUUUCAGUUGGGUUUCGUUCUUCAGCUUCAAUGGCACUUUCGGGGAUAGAAAUGGUCGUGGCUGUGGUGGUGGCGGUGCAAACACUGCUUGGAGGCGUGAUAGAGAGAAGAGGUUUGAGAGAGAGAGAGAGAGAAAGAGAGAGAGAGAGAGAGAAGGGUCCUUGCUACUCCCAUGGCUUUUCCCUUGCAAUGUAAUUUUUCAGUUUUCUCAUAAAUGAUGGAUGUUGUUGUUGUAUUUUCUUAUCACCAUUGACAGAGAC